AGGCAGGAGCUUCUGCAAAGAAUGUUCUGCUUCAGCAUUCUUGCCCGGCCUUCAGUCUGCCAACUGGCUUGGUUGACAACGGCUGGUGACCCAAGGAGCUGCUGAUAGACGCGGACUAGCCAUCUCUCAACAACUUCUUGAAUCAGCUAUUUCCACAGGUGUUCGAACGAAGAUGAGUUUUUACAGAAGGCUUCAUUCCUUUUUCCAAAGACUCAUCUCUAGGGAGCACAGAGAGAUCCAUGUGCACAAAGUGCUUGUCCAACCUGUAGCAAUGGAGGCAUGCUCUGACUUUAGCCAGCAAGAACAGGCCUUGCCAGAGAAGCCCA